GGUCCGGUAGCUCAGUUGGAUAGAGCAGCAGCCUUCUAAGCUGCGGGUCUUGGGUUCGAGCCCCAACCGGAUCA
rnacentral:tRNA from 1 species